ensembl:lncRNA
CUUCUGGGUUGCGCACAGAACCCUUAUGAGGGUGGGCGGGGGAGUGUUUGUGAGUUACCACCCUACACCCCGACUUAGGUGCAAGAAUUCAUGGCAGAGGCCGAGCGCUUGUGCCCUCUGACCCCAGGAUUUGUUCGAUGGAAGGAGCGCACGGAGAAGUGCCUGCUCCUGUAGGGCUGCAGGUCAGAACUGCCCGGGCCAACUCCAGCCCAUGCAGGAAGGGACUUUUAUUUAAGCCUCCGGCAGGAACCAACCACAGUGAACCAGCCAUGGUGGCAUCUUGAUCUUGGGCUUCUGGACUUCAAAACUAUGAGAGAUUGAACCAGGCCCCCUGCAUUGGGAGCGCAGAGUCUUGGCCACUGGACCACCAGGGGAGUCCUCCUCCCCUCGGCAGCUUUUCAACUGAAGAGUAUUAGAGUGACACCUUCUAGAAGCCGAACUCUUUUUUCAUGGAAAGUUCAUUCUGGCCACAGAGCCAGUAGGACUCAAAAGAGACUGCAAAAGCUCAGGCUGGAUGAUGGUUCCUCUGUUCUUAGAUUCCCCAGGGUCAUGAAGAGGUGUAGAACUCUGAGGUUGAGCCUCUGCUUUCAUAUUUGCUCAAUGAGGAUGCCCGCUGGUUGGCAGCAGAGUAAGGCUUAACUACGGGUGCAGCUGGGGCUUGCCAUCCCAGGCAGCGCAAUGCUGCCUUCCUGUUUGGGCAUCCCUCCCCGCUUCUGCUGCUUCUCUAGCUCUGCUCUCAGAAUGAAUUCUCCUCUGUACUGAGAGAUGGCAUGGGGAUGAGGUCUUGCUUUCUUCCUGGCUCCUGAGUCUAUAGGUCUCUGGAGGCGAUAGCACCUGGAUCCUCCAGCUACCAUCUCAGGCAGGCUGGGAGACUGUGAUUUUCCUUUCCAUGAUCGGGAGUGCUUUCAAAAAGCACUCUAGCCUUGAGCAUUGAAGCAGUAUCACAG